rnacentral:misc_RNA from 1 species
GGUUUUUCCCUUGACAAAGCUGAUAAUAUAUCAUGUACAAUCAGGCAACACAUUUAUUUAGCCAACAUUCUAGUUCAAAAGCAACUUUUUGCUAAAUCAAGACUGUGAUGGUGUAAAAAUAUUGCAGUCAAUAUUUUUGUACUAAAAAAAUUGAAAGCUUUAGUUGAUACGUCCACGGAUUGAGUCCUCGCGAGCUUGGUUCUAUGUGUUAAUUAUUAUCAUUAUCAUUAUUUUUUUUGGCAAACUUCAAGGGAGUAACUUCUUCACCUCAUUUACAAGCUCCACUAAAAAUUAACUCAGCAAUGAUUUUACAAUGCUCGAGAGUAAAAUGUUAAAUUCGUAUUAAAUCUACUUGAAAUUUCUU